rnacentral:rRNA from 1 species
CCUACGGGGGGCAGCAGUGGGGAAUAUUGGGCAAUGGGCGCAAGCCUGACCCAGCAACGCCGCGUGAAGGAAGAAGGCUUUCGGGUUGUAAACUUCUUUUAUGAGGGACGAAGGAAGUGACGGUACCUCAGGAAUAAGCCACGGCUAACUACGUGCCAGCAGCCGCGGUAAUACGUAGGUGGCAAGCGUUAUCCGGAUUUAUUGGGUGUAAAGGGCGUGUAGGCGGGAAUGCAAGUCUGAUGUGAAAGCUCAGGGCUCAACCCUCAGCCUGCUUUUGAAACUGUUUUUCUUGAGUGCUGGAGAGGCAAUCGGAAUUCCGUGUGUAGCGGUGAAAUGCGUAGAUAUACGGAGGAACACCAGUGGCGAAGGCGGAUUGCCGGACAGUAACUGACGCUGAGGCGCGAAAGCGUGGGGAGCAAACAGGAUUAGAUACCCCAGUAGUC